CUUGAUUAAGUUUUUUGUUGCCACUGAUCACAGAAAGUCUAUAAUUCUGAAAUCAUAUAUAAGCACUUCUGCACUUAUGAGCAAGCCAGAAAAUGACAAACAGUUGGCUUUGUUAUAUCAGUUCAGCAUUGAGAAGAUUGAGGUGGUUUUUAUUACAAACCAAAGUGGUUACUUACAAAUAAAACAUGUGACUUUAUUAAUUUUAAUUCACGAUUGAGUAUUUUCGUAUAGUAGUUUUUUUUCAUUAAAAGGAUUAAAAGAACAUCAAUUGAUGAACAUUUGUCUCAUCACAAUUUGUGUUUUGAACUUAACGAAGUGCAUUGUGAAAACAGUAAACUUAUGUUAAUCCAUCUCAGUCUUCUCUUUGUUCAAGUGGACUUUCAGUGUUUGUUGAAAGUUUGGAAAGUUUAUCUGAAAAUCACAAUCACUAAUGUUUUUUUCGAUGUUGAUUCUGGA
rnacentral:lncRNA from 1 species